AGAAGUUUAGGAUACCCAG
rnacentral:tRNA from 1 species